rnacentral:rRNA from 1 species
ACUCCUGCGGGAGGCAGCAGUGAGGAAUAUUGGACAGUGGGUGGAAGCCUGAUCCAGCCAUCCCGCGUGCAGGAAGACGGCCCUCUGGGUUGUAAACUGCUUUUAUCUGGGGAUAAACCUACUUACGUGUAAGUAGCUGAAGGUACCAGAAGAAUAAGCACCGGCUAACUCCGUGCCAGCAGCCGCGGUAAUACGGAGGGUGCAAGCGUUAUCCGGAUUUAUUGGGUUUAAAGGGUCCGUAGGCGGACUGAUAAGUCAGUGGUGAAAUCCGACAGCUUAACUGUCGAACUGCCAUUGAUACUGUUAGUCUUGAGUAAGGUUGAAGUGGCUGGAAUAAGUAGUGUAGCGGUGAAAUGCAUAGAUAUUACUUAGAACACCAAUUGCGAAGGCAGGUCACUAAGUCUUAACUGACGCUGAUGGACGAAAGCGUGGGGAGCGAACAGGAUUAGAAACCCGAGUAGUCC